rnacentral:rRNA from 1 species
UAGCGGAGGGUGCAAGCGUUAAUCCGGAGUUCAACUGGGUUUAAAGGGUGCGUAGGUUGGGCAGUUAAGUCAGUGGUGAAAUCCGUCCGGCUUAACCCGGAAACUGCCAUUGAUACUAUCUGUCUUGAAUAUCGUGGGAGGUAAGCGGAAUAUGUCAUGUAGCGGUGAAAUGCUUAGAUAUGACAUAGAACACCAACUUGCGAAGGCAGCUUACUACCCGAAUAUUGACACUGGAGGCACGAAAGCGUGGGGAUCAAACAGG